UUUGGCAUAGGUUUUUGUGAAGAUGAAAAUAUAUAAUACAUUCCUUUCAAUGUUGCAAUACUGCAAAUUAAUAUGCAUCUCCCUACUUGGACUGCCAAUUUUACCAGCUAGUUUAUCUAUUUCUGACUGUAACCUGGAAAUUUUGUUUCAAAUGUUUAAUAUUUUGCUCUAACAUAUCCCUUAUUACAUUUCUGUUACCAUUUAUUCUAUUUCAACUAUUGCACCAGGGAUGGGCUCUUCCCAUAUUCUGCUUCCUCGCAAGAUUUCUUCUCACCUUCUCACCGCAUUUCUUUUCUCACCACCGUUGGAGCAUUUUUAUUUAUUAAUUCAUUUUACCUAAAUUGCUCGCUUUUUGGGGUUUCUGGCCUGGUUUGUGCACGAGUGUGCGUGUGCGUGUGCGUGUGUGUGUGUGUGUGUGUGUGUGUCGAACUGGAGUUUGGAAUCCUGCCUCCUGUGUCCACAUAAUAGUCGGUAGACACCCCCACACUAUAUUGAGAGAGCUGGUUAAUCAUGACCCGAUUCUGUCAGCAGCAGGAUUGAAUUUGAGCUUGUGUUUUCAUCACACCUGGAAUACCACAUAGAUUACAGAACAGGAGAGAAGAGAAAAUGAGCAUUGCUUCAUAUAAAGAGGCCCCUCGGUGUCAGGGCUGUCCUGCGCAGAGCACGUUUGGCUGUUUCAUGUGGAUUUAUGGAGUAAUCUGGCAGGCGAUGCUAAGUAAUGAAGUCCUCAGCGUUUCAUUAGAGAAGGGCAAGACUGCGUGACAGCACAAAGGUCUACUGCGAUGGAAGUUAAUUGGCAGGCUACAGCACUUUGUCAUAAUGUCCUGAAUCACCCUGUUCUCUGCACUGGCCCUGGUUGCCAUGGUGAUGGUUCAAAUGUUUCAAAUUUGAACUGACACUCCUCAACAGUCACUGACUAACUGUUUCUCCUGAGCUUCUAUUUGAAUGUGAUUUCAAAUAUCAUUUAUGGAUUUUUUUUUUUUAAUCGGGCAUCUUCAGGACAACCUCCUGCCAGAUGAAGAUUGUAUUAAUUCAUUGCCAGAUUUAUAGCCCACUUUUCUUAUAACAGUGUAUGGUACAAUCCAUUACAUAAGUAUAAAUAUUCAUUAUGAAUCUCUGGUUUACCGAGCUCCUCAUUUUGAAAUUGAUUCUGUUGUAAUGCCUAAAUGACUGGAUAAAGCCUGACUGUCUGUCCUGGGCUGACAGGAUAAUCAAA